UGGGACUUCUUGGUGUGUGCAACUGCAGGACCAGGUCCCAGUUCCUUAGGGUUGGAAUGGACCUUAAAGAUCAUCCGGUUCCACCCCCUGCCAGCUUUUACAGAAAUAAAACGAGUGGCUUAUGCCAGCUAAAUUCUACAAUGUUGAAACGACUUAAGAGAAGGUUUCAAGAAGAGGAAAGAGAAAUACACACGUUUUGAUUUCUGGCAUAAUUCGUUGGUUCUGGUGUCAAGUGUGUAAUAUCUGACCUAGAAUUUACCAGAACUCACUAAACAAUUGUUGAAAUCAGGAAAGGAAUUAUACUUCUUUUUGCUAAUUCAUUGGAAGAUGCAAAACUGACUAUAACCAGGAGUGCCAGAAAACUAUAACCAGAAGUGGAUUGCUGGAUGAUGUUUACUAUCAUGUGUUACUUCACCAUGUCUUCACUCAUCCACAUUCUCAGCACGUCCGCAAUCUGUGCCGAUUUUCCUUCCUUUUGGAGCUGAAGGAUGCCUGG